GGCUGGCAGGCUGCAUAGGAUUUGGAGGCGACUGACCAAUUUGCCCCACCUCAUCUGCUCAGUUCCUUCCAUGGCAUUCAUGGGCGUGAGCGUGACAAGCUCUCCUCCGCCUCCCAACAUGGGUGGCGCGGCGCCUUCCUCUUCUUCGUGAGGCGGCAAGGGUUGCGGAGGAGGAGCUCCGGCGUAGGCAGGACCAGCUCGACGUCGACCUCUCCCGCAAGCGACCAGAUGGACAUCUUCGGGCCCGCCUCCAGUCGCCGCGGGCCAAAUUCCAGGCCCCUCUCCGGCUCCCCGAUUCCCCGUCUGUGCAGCGGUGGAGGCUUCGAGACGGGGCCUCGCUGCCCUAUCUGGCGGCGUUCGAUUUUUCUCGCACCGGCGGCGAUUCUGCGGUCAGGGGCGUGGUCUCCGUCGGCUGCGACGACACGUUGUUGUGGUUCCGGGGAGAAUGGCAGCAUGGAGGAGGACCUCGGCGCGUCCUGUUCUCCCUCCAAGGCGGCGCGAAUAUGGGUGGGGUCAAUGGUGGCCGGUGCUCCUUUCCGAUGCAUCUACGACUCCGAUGCAUCGCUGUCUCCAUGGUUCUCUUCCUCUAGACUGAUGUGCUGCUAGGUUAUUUGGCUAGCAUGUGGUUGUUGGGUUCGUACACUGAUGGACAAGGAGCUUAUAAUGUAUACUCCCAUUAGCUGUUGUAUUUUGAUAAUAGAGUAUGCCUUCCCAUGCUGUAUACACACAUAAUUUGGAUUCAACAUAAUUUGGCACGUUUUAUCCUAUGAUAUUGAAAGCUUUAGAUGUUCUCUAUUCUUUGUUAGUUCUAAUAUUUUGGCAGAAUAUGUUUUUACCAGUCCUUACUAACCCCAGAAAAUACCUGAUUUUGUAACAUCCAUGUAUUCAGAAUGCAUAUUCUUAGAAACCUACGUCCCUUCCUUGACUGUUGGAAAGUUAAUUAUGUUCCUUUUCCUACCAACAAGUUACGGCCAUAGGCACAUUACAUCAUGGUUCCUAUUUUAGACAACCAAGAUAAUCUUACUUGCAUCAUUUAGACUUGUUAAAAAAAAGAAAGGGAUGAUGUUUUUUUUGUUUUGCUUUCAAUUUGUCAUUUGUACGCUUACGAUAUUAAACCAAAGUACGUGUUACAGGGAUUUGACCGGUUUUAGUGAAAUCAGUUUUUUUCAUCUACCAUGUCUACAACUAAUGACUGAGCUCUGCAUUUGCACACAACAUUGCAGGGUCAGCGACUGAACAUUAAAUGUGCUCACCGCAUAGUUGAUUUGCACGAAUAACUUGUGUUACAUAGGCUGCAAGAUGUGUCGAGAAAGAGUAAAGCUAUAUAGGGAUAAAUACAUUCUCCAUGUUUGGAUCUGUUAUGCCUUUCCAAGGUAUGCUCCUACAUAACAAUAUAUGCAUUGCUAUUUCAGUGGAAGACAUACCACAACCUGCAAUGUGGAGUUCACAUUUGACGUAUAGUUUUGGCAAAUAAGAAUUGGUCUCUAUGGCAAAAGAUAGGUUCCUUUAGCUGUCCACCAAUUCACUAAAUACGGAUUAUUCUUGCUUCUAGGUUCAGUCCAGUGAACUAAUGACCAAUGCAACAGAACGACCAAUCAAAACAACACAUGUGACAAAAACACCAACAUGCUCGCACCAAUCAGAAGAGCAACCAACUGAAACUACACCUAUGAUAGGCGCAGCAACAUGCUACUUCAGUCUGCAGGACUGGAAAAUAUAUGUUCUUCUUUGGCUUGGAGACUUGGAGUUAUAUCGGUUCAUUUUUGGCAUAGAGAAGUUUUUUAAUAUUUCACAUGGUGAUGACACAAUAUAAUAUUUUGAACGAACCUGAGGCAGGGUGAUUAUCUCUUAUAAAUUGAUCUUAAUGAGUUUAUCAAUUGACAUUUCUGUAUUCUAGGUUCAUGGUGCUUAGUUUCCAGGUGGAUUUUUUUAUUUUGCCAAUUUAUUAACGGAAAUAUGGAUACUUAAUGAGUCUUCGAUUAUCUCAACCAAGACACUUCAUCCACUAUCUUAAUCUUUUCUUACUAAUUACAAUAUCAGAAACUAGGGUUAAUUGUACAUAUAUACUUCCUGCUGUAGCCAUUUGGUAAAAUAGUAGUAGCAUAAUAUCAUCUGUAUUUACUUCUCCCUCCUCUCCAAGAAAAGUUUAGCAACCAGUUCACAGGUUCAUAACUUCACGUGUUAAAACAUGGAUAGGCAUUAGAGCAUUGUCUUACUUAAUUGAGGCCACUGGCUAUUUUGCUUAUCUAGCAAUUUGAGUAUUUCCUCUUACUCUGUGAAUUGCUUUAGUAUGUGUUUUCUUCCAGAUGUCCUUUAUUUCUAGACAACUUCUUAGCCAAUACAUUUCCAAAUUAAUACAUUAAUUGGUCAUAUUGUUUACAGAGAACCUUGGUUCUUUUCCUUGGUCCAAUUGCGUUGUGCUUGCUUAGCUGAUCACAGUUCUGCAAAACUAGGCCAUAGUUUGCAAAGAGUAUGUUUGAACCUGACACAAUUUUCAGAGGACAUGCCUUCGGGUCUUCCAGUUCCGUUUUCUCAAAUUACAAGCAAGAUUCAUUGAGCUACUGCAUAAUUUUCAAGUAAGGAUGAUGAAGUGGGGAAGCAAUACAUAUCAGGUUCACGCAACAGCCGAAAAGAAAAAAGAAGUAAUUUUUUUAUGCAGACCACAUAUCUAAAAAGUUUGCAUACUCGCCUUUUUUACUUGCUGUGGAUAAAUGGACUUGGUACUUAUUUAUUAUGAGCCUGUAGUUAAAGUAAUUGAGCAUUUGAUAAAAAAAGGAAUUGAUUAUUAAGGUCUAACAAGACAUAAGUUAAAUCAUGGCUUACUAACAUUUUGCACAAUUUUUUUGGAGCGUAGAGGCAUUGUUCUGAAAUAAGUAUAUUAAUGGAACACAUGACCAUUAUUUUAGCAUACUGUAGCAUUAAUCAAAUUACAUUAUUAUGUUAUAUGAUGAUAUAAGAAUAGUGUUGUAGGCCUUUUUUGGUAACAUUCCAGUGGAAAAUUUCAUGUUUAAUGGUUAGAGCUGUGAAUAGACUUCUCCAAGCUGUUGCUCCGAACGGGGGAGAGGAACCUGAAGUUGAUUUGCUGAUCAUUGCCUGGGGAAGAUCCAAUUCUUACAAGGAAGAAAGUAGGUUUGCAACGGUAAAACGCAUAACAGCUGCAGAAUCAGCUGGGUGGUCUAUAGUAAAAUAGCUACCAAUGGAGAUAAGCAAUUUCCUUUGCAACAGAAACCGUGUCUCCAAGUGCCACCUAUCCCGAAGACCCACCUAUCAAAUUUUGUGUCAGCUAUUAUGUUAAUAUGUUAUUCACAUAUCUGUCCUUAUGUAAGAAAAUUUCUGCCAUGAAACGUCAUGAAGCGUCCAUGCACUUCUGUAUUGUUACGCUCUGUGAUUGCGGC